rnacentral:sRNA from 1 species
AGUUGUUUCUGUGUCUGAAUGAGUUACUUUUUCAGUUUAUUUGCCUCCUCUUUGUGAUUUUAAAAUAUUUAAAUCGUUUUCUAAAAUCUGGGAUAGAUGGGCAGCAGAAGAUCAUGUGCUUCGUGAUACCGAUGAAAAUCGUAGAUUACAGCGUAAAUUGGCAAGAAAAGCUGUAGCUCGCCUGAGGAGCACAGGAAGAAAGAAGAAGCGCUGCAGGUUGCCUGGUGUGGACUCUGUCUUAAAAGGCCUCCCCACUGAAGAAAAAGAUGAAAAUGAUGAAAACUCAUUAAGCAGUUCCUCUGACUGUAGUGAAAACAAGGAUGAAGAAAUAAGUGAAGAAAGUGAUAUUGAAGAAAAGACUGAAGUGAAAGAAGAACCAGAGCUUCAAACAAGAAGGGAAAUGGAAGAAAGAACAAUAACUAUAGAAAUCCCUGAGGUUCUGAAGAAGCAGCUGGAGGAUGAUUGUUACUACAUUAACAGGAGGAAACGGUUAGUGAAACUUCCAUGCCAGACCAACAUCAUAACGAUUUUGGAAUCCUAUGUGAAGCAUUUUGCUAUCAAUGCAGCCUUUUCAGCCAAUGAGAGGCCUCGUCACCAUCACGUUAUGCCACAUGCCAACAUGAACGUGCAUUAUAUCCCAGCAGAAAAGAAUGUUGACCUUUGUAAGGAGAUGGUGGAUGGAUUAAGAAUAACCUUUGAUUACACUCUCCCGUUGGUUUUACUCUAUCCAUAUGAACAAGCUCAGUAUAAAAAGGUGACUUCGUCUAAAUUUUUUCUUCCAAUUAAGGAAAGUGCCACAAGCACUAACAGGUAAGUUAUAUAGCCUGCACUUUCACCCUCACAUGUCAGCAGUACAAUGAUCAGAUCCUUGUUUUGAAGAGUUCAAUCUGAUGGUGUGGGCCAACAUGUUUGGAGGAGGGAAGGAAAUGAAAAGUGUGUGUCCUGGUGGUUUUCUUUUUUCCUGGGUAAGCUAAGUCAUCAUUCACUUUCAUAUGGCUCUGGCAGAUUUUACCAAGUGAAGACCCCAGCAUAGAGAACUUAGGUGGGAUGAUGAGCAGCUCUCCCAUUUUGGGGAAGACGGUAGUGGGUGGGGUGAAGAGAGCACAGGCCGGGGAGGGUGGAA